UAAUAAUAAUGACCUUAGCUUAGUAUAAGGAGUUAGGUCGUUAAAAGAGAACACUAAUUUGCAUCCCACAGUUUUGUGUCUCUUAGGUAGAGCCCAAAUCUCCCUAGUUUUAUUCUUUUCAAGAGCCUUCAUCUCUUCCAUGACAACAUUCUUCCAUUCAAAACACUCUAAAAAAGUGUAGACAUUUUUUGGUAUUAUUGUAGAAGGCUUGCUGUAAAAGCUCUGAACUGCAGAGAGAGAUUAUCAUAGGAAACAUAGUUGCAAAUGAAAUGUUUAGUACGGAACCUGGUACCUUUUCUUAGAGCAAUGAGAAUGUCAAGAGAGGGAUUAUACUCAUCAAGUUUUCCUGUAUGACCAUGUUCAGCUUUAUUAUUAUUGGUUUCUGCUUUGACCUUAGUCUCAUCACCACUAUUCGUUUCUUCCAUGUUUUUAAGAACAGCAAUAUCAGACCUGUCAUUCUCACCCAUCUUAUUAUUAGUAUAAGGUUCAGUGUUGUUUUCCAUACCUUGAUCUUGAGGAGGUUAAAAGUAUUGGACUGGAGCAGAUGACUGACUAUAGGGGAUCCGACUUCCUUUCUGAGAGUCCUCCUAUAAUACAUUUUUCAGGGAACUUGGUUUAUGGGUAGGACUAUGGGAUGAGGAUCAACGUCAGACACGGUACUAGGAGUAGGUUUAAUAAAUUCUAAGGUGUUGUUAGAUUCUUCACGCACAGUUUCUCCUAAAGAUGACUAACAGAAAAGUAGGGUCGGUCCUCACAGAAAGUGACAUCCAUAGUCACAAAGUAUUUCUUGGAUCAUGGGUAAAAACAUUUAUAACCACACUAAUGAAGAGGAUACCCAAAAAACACACAUGCUUGAGCCCGAGAGGUAAAUUUGAUUUGAUUAGGGCCGAAACUAUGGACUUAAGCGGUACACCCAAACACAUAAAGGGGAUCCUCAGAAAUUAGACAAGUAGAAGGGUAAGACUCCUUAAGACAAUUUAAAGGAGUCUAAAGGUAGAUAAUAUGAGAAGACUUUCUAUUGAUUAAAUAAGUUGUUGUAAGAAUAGCAUCUUCCCAUAGGUAUGAAGGAAGAGAAGUAAAUAGCAUAGGGGAACAUGCUACUUCCAAAAGAUGUGGUUUUUUUGCUUGACCAUCCCAUUUUGUUGAAGAGUGUAGCCCCUGAGUCUAAAAUCUAGGGAUUCUUCCCAUCAACACUAAUAAAACCAAAGGACUAACGCAUACCUGACUGAGCAAUGGCAUACAAAGUAGGAGUCUUGGUCUAGUUUGUAGUACAGUCCAUUGCCUUUGAGGUGCUAACAGUGGUAGUUUCACAAAUGUGGGCAUGCCCCCUGAGUUUUAUUUCUCAUUGGAGGAUCGUUUCUUACCUUUUGGAGGACGAUUGUGGAGUUUCAAACACUGAUCCUUGGUGUGUCACUGUUUCUUGCAGUGCUCACAAACAGGGAUUGAUUUCCAUUAUUCUUGUCAUGAUCAUGAUUCGAGGAAUAGACACUAAAGGCAGUAGAGUCAGUGACAGGGGUAGUUAGUAAAUCCAUGGCGUUAGUACAGACUUCUUCAAGACAGACUUCAAAACACAUUUUCAUUAGGGAGGGAAGAGGUUUUUGUCUGAGUAUACAACCACAAACAAUAUCAAAUUUAAGAUUAAGCCUUACAAGGAAGUCAUAAAUACGAUCAGUCUACUCAAGUUUAGCAUAUUGUAUACUAUCAUUUGGAGUGUCCUAAACUAUCCCCAUACAUAAAUCCAUCUCUUACUAGAGAAGGGAGAGCUUGUUGAAAUAAGAAGCCACGUCCAAGGUCCAUUGUUUGCAAUCAUAGACCUAUUUUCUCAAUGUAUACAAUCAAAAGGCAUUUUGACACUUCUAGUAAAGGUUCUGAGUUGUACCUAACAAAUCUUUUACAGUGCGUGCGUACAGUAGAGGCUUUCCCAUCUAAGAUUCCAUACUAUUAAUCAACAUAGAUCGAAUAGAUCAUGUCAUUGCAUGGGGGAUCAUAUUUGAUUCGAAGGUGACGAUGUUAAAGUCACAGUAGAUGUUGUGGUGGAUGGUGAUUAUAUAAUUCCCAUUCCAUAAGAGCAAGGGAUGUACAAAAUGUCCCAGGAAGUUGGUUCACACAUAUUGUGGCCAGACAUCUUUUCAUUACUGACAAUAUAAAGGUAAUGAAUUUUUCAUUGAAGGAUAUACAUGUCGCAUUUUGUAUUAACCCUAAUUGCAAUAUCUUUUGUAGAUGGACUAUGGGGAAUUUACUAAGGAUAUGACCACAUUCACACCCACACCAAUUCAAAAUGCUCUAGUUGCACUAUGAUUCUUACUAUGAAUGGUUGAACAUAUAGGGUCAGCAAUUCAAAUCACCACACCAUAUGACGUAUUUGGGGUCCGAAGAAAAUGUUGCAUAAUGAUAGAGUCGUUGAAGGAUUUCUCGUCUAUGCGACCAAUAGCUACAGCUUGCCUUGAUGCGUACAAAAUGUAUCUAUACACACGUAUGGAAUCAUCAAGAACUUUGAAUCUAUACAAGUUUGUUGACGCUGGGUGUAUUAGUUGUGGGAGUUCUAAAGAAGAACGAGCCCAAUUGUUGACUGCACGAUUACUUGGAACAGAUUACGAUCAACUCUUACUCAUUUCUUACAAUUUUGGGAAUCAUUGGACUUUGGUUGUAAUAAACCGAUCGAAGGGUGCUGCCUUUUGAAUAGACCCUUUGAAAAACCGUAUUGACCCAUAUGUAUCUGAAGUAGUUGAAAGGUCAUUCAACAUAAUGAAGAAGAAAAAACCAAAUUGGAGGGUCGUGAAGGUAUGUG